GUUUGAGGGAUCGUGCUGCUCUUGCAAGGGACUCACAGAAGCUCCAGCACAGCCAGCCAGUUCACAGCCAGUAACUCCAGCUUCAGAGCUCUGCAGCAAUGCCUUUGACUGUGGGGCCUGCACUCAUAGGCACCUACCCACCACCUACCUACACACACACACUCACUCACUUACUCUUCACACACACACACUCUAUACACACACACUCUUUACACACACACACACACUCUUCACACACACACACUCUUCACACACACACACUCUUCACACACACACUCUUCACACACACACACUCUACACACACACACUCUUCACACACACACUCUUCACACACACACUCUUCACAUACACACACUCUACACACACACACUCUUCACACACACACACUCUACACACACACACACUCUUCACACACACACUCUACAUACACACUCUCACACACACACUCUACACACACACACUCUACACACACACACUCUUCAUACACACUCUUCACACACACACACACACACACACACACACACACACACACACUCUGACAGCUGAGAAGUAGGAGGCUCAGACUCUUUUGAACAGGGAAUCUUCAGUUUUGCUUCAUUUUCCCAUGUUUCCAUGGGUUGUUUGUCAGAAUGUGAGCAGCUGUGACAGAAACUUGUCCUGGUCUUUGGCUUCAGGGUUGGUUUUUUCUGCGUUAAAACAGUCUAUGGAGCCUAUGAGGCCUUCUCUGCUUCUCUAGGAAGGCCCAAGUUUGAAAAAUCCUUGGGUCAGUAAUCCCUCGUAGAGAUCUGGGUUAACCCUUCUAUUGAGGGGGAAACCGAGGCCAAGAGAGCACUAGUGAUUUUCUUGAGGUACUGUGGUAAGACUGCAUGAUGGACCUUUCUUCAAGGCCUGUUCCACAAAGGAUCCUUGCCAGCACGAGCUAUCCUGCAAAGUUUUUCAAUUUAAUUCCCAUUGGUGCUGAGAAAGAUACCUAUGCAGACUUGAUGUCAGACCAUGAGGUCUGUCUGUCUUUCUUUCUUUCUUUCUUUCUUUCUUUCUUUCUUUCUUUCUUUUUCUUUUCUUUUUUUCGGAGCUGGGGACCGAACCCAGGGCCUUGCGCUUGCUAGGCAAGCGCUCUACCACUGAGCUAAAUCCCCAACCCCAGGCCUUUAUUUAUUUAUUGAGGUUUUUUGUUUGUUUUUGUUUUGAGACAGGGUCUCCACUUUGUAGCCCUGGCUACUCUGAAAUUCUCUAUGUAGACCAGGCUGGCCUCAAAUUCACAGAGGGCCACCUGCCUCUGUCUCCUGAGUGCUAAGAUAGAAGUCGUGAGCUACCGCACCUGACCCUGACCACCACGCUUUAAAUGUAGACCUUGUUACUGGCUGUACAGGCUUGUGCAAGUUUCCCUCCCCUCUGAGCCUCUCUUACCUGUGGUGUGGGAAACUGCUUUGCUUCUAAGGCUGGGAACAAUUGGUAGAGGUGUGUGUGAGUGCCGGUGGGAAGCCCUUGGUGUGCUACAAACGACUGUUGACUUGUGUGCUCUGUACUGAUUCUUUGUGGGUAUCAGGCAGGGGGUUGGGUUAGGUUCAUUGGCUGAAGAUGUCCCUUACUAAUAAAGCCCUGCUUAGAAACCCUGGGUUACAUUUCCAGCUCAUCAUUUGGGGGGAGGGAGAGCAAGAUCAAAAUUGAAAACAGGAGGCCAGCUUUUUACACAAGACCCUGUCUCAAAAAUCAACCAGUCAUGUCGGGCCUUCAAUCCUUUAUUUCCAGCACUCAGGAGGCAGAGUCAGGUGAAUCUCUGAGUUCCAGGCCACCCUGGUCUAUCUACAGUGAGUUCCAGAACAGCCAGGGCUACACAGAGGGACACUGUCUGCAAAAACAGACAAAAUAAAUCAGUUGUUCAAUCUACCAACCUACUGAGCAUCUGCAUGGGAUUUGUUUUUUCUUUGAGACAGGGUUUCUCUUCUGUGUCCUGAAACUUGCUCUGUAGACCAGGCUGGUCCACUCCACCUGCCUCUGUUUCACCAGUGUUGAGAUUGAAAGUGUGCGGCACCAUGUCUGACCUUCUGUUUGCGACAGAGGCCACGUUUCACCUCUUGCCGACCCUCCUGCCCACUCUUGCAGUUAGUGCUACAGAUGUCCACUGUCACACCCAGCCUUAGUUCAGGAUUAUUGAAUGUCAGAGCCGGAUGGACCUCUGAGGACGUCUGUGGGGGAGGAUUCGGUGUUAGCUGUGGAGGCUGCUGAUAUCCCAAGAGCAUUUGGUGUGGAGCCAGAGGGAGACUUCUAAGGGGGUCCUGUUCCUGGGGCUCUGCGCUUUGUUAACAACAUCAGUUAUGCCCACUCUCCACCUCACAGGGCCAUACUGCCUCAAUCUGACACCGGUGCUGUUCACUGGAGAGCAAGCCUAUAGUUUAGAAACUGGAAAACUUGGAUUUGUAAGCUUGGCUCAGCCAGACCCUCAGGCCUAAAAGGGUGAGAGUCUUGGAAUGAAUAUCUCCUGAGGUGGGUAAUCAAAGCUAGGAUUUUCCUUGGCCACUGUGGAACAGGAAAAAAGUUAGCAUUCAAAGUCAUGGCAGGCCCUGACUAGUCAGCAUCUUCUGGGUAGGAAAAGUACAAGCACAAAGAAGGCAGCUCCCCACUCCCCAGGGUCUGAGAGAAAAGCGGUUGCUGUUGCAAUGACUUUGGCAGUGAACCUACAUCUUCCUCAGCUCAGGACAACAGCGUCCAGUACGUCCCAGCCCUGGACCAAUUCUGUGUCAGCUCUGGGUGGUGAGAGUGGAGACAGCCAAUGAAAGAGCCAGGAGCCUGUGCGAUGGUCCUGCACCAAGCUGGAAAUAACCAGACGUCAGGCACACGUGACCGUUUCCAUGGUGACCUCCCUUAGCAACCCUGUUUAUGAACUCGGGAAAAUUCCAUCCAGCCUCUAGCCUGAAUUUUCUUCUUACCUCUCAUCCACCUCCUCCUGUUCCAGCACAGAGAUAAAGAGCCUGAGGCUUUCCUGACACAACUUCCGCCCCAGAGAAAGCAAGCAAGCCAAGAAGUUACUAUUGACCCACAUGGGAACACAGAAGUCAGUCAACAAACAAGUCAUCAUCCCAGGGAGUACGUGCUGGGCAGAGACUGUGUCACUGUGGUCAUCAUCCCAGGAAAUGCGUGCUGCACAGAGACUGUGUCACUGUGGGUGGAGCCGAGGGAUGCCUGGAGGUCAAGAGUCCUUGGGAGGAGUGAUGCUCUGCCUGUGACUAGAAUGACUUUGCUAUUUGAAGUUCUGUGCUGGGGCAGGAGUUGGGGGAGGGCAGGGAACAUUCCAGGCUUGUUGAAUCUGGACAGGGCCAGCAUGAGGACACAGGCGGCCUCCAUAGCCUCUUCCCUCUCUGUCCUAUAACCUUUCGCUCUCCUAACUUCAGGACUCCAUGUUUUUGGUCUUGGCUCCCAGCGCUGUUCAAAAGUCAGUGCCUCCCCAGAUCAAGGGUGGUCCUUCUGUGUAGGUAACAGUGUCCUUACUCUGUGCAGGUGCCUCGGAGGGAGCCCUCACUCCAGGCCCCAUGUCACUUCCCUUGUUCACCCCAACGCCUGGACCCCCAAACCAGUCUUGUAAAUUGUGAGGGCGUGGACCCUUUCUGUUCUGCCCAGGACACUUUCCACUCUGGCCCCUCAUUGACUCCCGUGAGUCCUGCUUAUUUCGUUUGUAUUUGAGACACAGUGCAUGUAGAGGUCAGAUGACUUGUAGGACUCAGUUCUCUCCUACGAAGUAGACAGGGAGGAACUGAACUAGGGUCAGUGGACUCCGUGGGAAUGUCCUUACCUGCUGAGCCACCCAGAGAGCCUGGAAAAUGUGACUUUUGGGUGGCAGAUAUAUCCAUUGUAAAUGAGGGGCAUGGAUUCAAAUUAAAGAAUUUCAGGGCAGGGAGAAAAACGUCAAAAUUAUCUUAUGGAACUCUGUUGCAAUGCAGGAAAUCUUCAGACUUGAAUGAUGCAGUCACUGGGCUCCUGCGGCUUUCCAUAUGGAGGGUGUCGUGGGCUUCACAGACCCACUUUGCCUCAAGCCCAGAACAGCUGGGCCCUAUAUCCAUCACUGCGGCCUCUGGUUCUCACCUGGCAGUGUCUUAAACACACCUGGCCAAGAUCCCGGACAUUUCUUUCCAGAAGACUUGCUUCUGUAGGAUGACAUGCAGUUCUAUGAAGAAGGAAGAGGGGUGUGUGGGGGUGGGGCGGGGGUGGACAGGUGUGCAGUAUUUAAUGAGCAUCACGCUGGGGCUGGACAGUCUGGGCCAACAUAAAUAUCCUCCAGAGAUCUUAAGCAGGUGACUGAGCACAUCAGGGACACAAGAAUGCGGAAGUAAGCCACUUCAGAAGCCUCGCUAUUGCUUUAGGCCAUUCCAGAAGGUCCAUUCAGCAGGCCCCAGAGGCCCCAGCAUAGGGGAGGGCUGGCCAAGUACCUCCCUCCCACGGUGCCUCAGAUUCAGUGGAAGGACAGCAAGAGCUGAGCCACUCUGGAGAGUGAAUGCUGAUCCUACACUCCACCCACUCCAGCACCCCAGAGGAAAGAAGAGUUGUUAGCUUCAGACACUGGGCAGCACAAAACCAUUCCGGCCUAUUCUGGUGGGAUAUCCAUUCUCAAUGCUGCUACUCCCUCUGGAACCCGCCCACUCCCAACCACCCCUGAACUCAGCAACAGCAACGAACUUUGGAGACCCUCUAUGGUAGACAUACUAUGACUGGGUUUAAUCUCCAUCCUUGUGGGACACUUCUGGACCAUUGUCCCAUCACAGACACCUCCCACACCGGGUCACAAGCAUACUUCCAGAAGCAUGAACUCUUUCAACCACUGUUCUUGUAUUUGCUUAUUUAUAUGCUGUUGUUAUUGCUGAGAUGAAGGCUCGCUAUGUUGUCCAGACUGGUCUCAAAUUCCUGGACUCAUGUGACCCUCUUGCCUCAGCCUCUGGAAUGCCUAGAAACUACAGGUGUCUACCACAAGCCCUGGCUGUGUGUCAUAAAUCUCAAAAGAGCUACCAUUCCAGUUUGUUUUGAGACAGAAUCUCUGACUCAUGCUGGUCUUGAACCCCCUAAGUAGGGAGGAUGACCCUGAACUCCUGAUUCUUUCAGUUCCAUCCUUCAAGUGCUGGGAUUAUAGGCCUGGGCCAUCAUGCCCAGUUUCUAUGGUGCUGGGGUUUCCUGCAUGGUGGGCAAAUAUUCUACCAACUAAGCUAUACACACCCCUCCUAACUACCUCCUGCUACACCACACACACACACACACACACACACACACACACACACAGCUCACUCACAUAGUCAUUCCUCAGUACACGGGAGCUCCUACUAUGUGCUUGGUACUUCUCACACAAAGAAACAGAACAUUGGGCCUCAGUUCUUGGUCUAAGAGCUCUCGGUAGCCUCUUCCUCACAGGGUUUUAAUGAAGGAUGGAAGCUUUGCACAGGGCUCCCGUGUGUUAGAGAAGUGGGAUACACUGGUUAAAUGUCAUGUUCGCGGGAUGCCAGAGGGACCAAGGGGAGCCUGGCAGCUAGCAGCCAGGGGAGAGAAAGCUAGUUACUCUUCAUCCAGUACCAACGGGCCCAAAAGAGACUGGAGGGAAAACCCUAGAAACAUGACCUACUGGUGUGGACCCAGUCGGGGCUGUUCAGGGUUUGAAGCUGGAGAGGGUCAGAGCCACACCUCUGGAGAAUGCCAUCUUGCUUUCUGUUGUCAGUCCUCAUCCCUUAUCCCUUGGUACUACCACUGUCUCUACAGCCAGGCCUUCUAGAAAGCUCUACAGACACUGCAAGGCCUACAGCUAAUUACACAGUUACUAAACAGCCAAAGGCUCUGAAGCACUCAGGGCGGGGUCACAGUCGGGUUCCUCCAGACACCUCCUCCCCCAGGAGGCUUCUAGUUAACUUGGAAUCUUUCCUAUACUUUUUCAUUUGUAGAAACAGGGUUUCUCUGUGUAGCCCCACCUGUCCUGGAACUUGCUCUGUAGACCAGGCAGGCCUAGUACUCAGAGAUCUGCCUGCUACCAUUAGCCAGCUAUCGUUCCUAAUUUUUUUCUUUUCUUUUUUUAAAUUUUUAUUUGAUAUAUUUCUUUACUUACAUUUCAAACGUUAUUGCCCUUCCCAGUUUCCUGUCCAUAAGCCCCCAUUCCCUCCCUUCCCCCUCCCCCAUACGGGUGUUCUCCCUAUACAUCCCCCUUAUUGCCCCCUUUUUUUAAAAAUUGACUUUUAAAAAUUUAUUUUAUGUGUGCUGGGAGGUCAGAGGGCUGCCUCCUCACUCCUGUGGGAUCUAAGGCUUAAAGUCAGGCCCAGAUUUAACAGCAAGGGCCUUUAACAGGCUCAGCUGUCUCAGGUGCUGUCAGCCAGCCCCUUCCUAAAAAAAAACACUAGAGGAGGCAACAAGAAGGCCCAGUGCCUGCUUCUCCUUCCCUGGUUACCUCAGCUCCUGUGGCAGGUUGCUGCUCCCCUCUCAACUUGGGAUCUGCAAUGACACAGUCAGUUUCCAUUCCUGGGCCCAGGUUCUCUGUGUGAAGUGGGCCUCCGUGACUGACUUUUACCCUCUCUCCAGGAUACAUUAGUUAGCUGUCCAGAGCCCCCAAAGGAAACAAGGCUUUCUCCCAUAUGACCAACCUCUGCUUCCUUCGUCAUUUCUGUAGGUUUUUUUUUUUUUUCCUGCAGUGGGAGUAGCCCAAAUUUGUGCUGCAAACUUAAGAGGUUCACAUUGUUCCAAAGAUCUUUAAAAAAAAAAAAAAUCAGCCCUGGGAAGGUGGGUGAGUGGAUGGGAACUGCAAAUUCAGUCUUCUGGAAACAAAGCUGUUUUCUUUGAAUAAUCUCCUCCCAAGCUCAGCCCUUCCCCCUCUUCCCCGCCUACCGGAGCCUUACAGAUAAAAUUCACGGGAUGGGACCUAGUAGCACAGGCUUGGGAAGAAUGAGUGCCAGUGGACUUGCUCAGUCUGGUCCCUGUUCCCAGCGCUAAACUAAGAGAAGUAGCCAUUCCUUUGCCAAAGCCUGAUACGCCUUUGUACCCUGCAAGGGCUGGGUGGACUGCAGUGUUCUCUGAGGAUUUCUGGCCCGUUGUCUUAAUUCUGAAUUACUGCUGCUUCAGUCAUUUUCAGGGUCACAACUCCUCCAGGCCACAGGCAAGAAGUCUAAAAUCUUCCAUGUUCUUUCUCCACCCCUUUGUUUACAGAACCAGCAUCACCUGCUGUCUCAACUCUCUGCUUGCACAUUAGGAAAUUACCAUUCCAAAGUCAUUGGGUUCAUCCCCAAGGUCCCAGGGAUGUGUGUCCGGGAUGUGCCUGCCAGGAACAGGCACUCGAAGAGCUUCUGGUUUUGGCCUGGGCUCCUUUAAGGGGCUGACUAAAAUGGCUGUUUCUCCUUUAGUGUCUGUGGUACCCUUUGAGCCAACGAGGACUGCACAGUGAGAUGCUCCAUAAAGAAGUAAACAGGAAAAGAGGGUUAGGCAUGCAGCUCAGAGAUGGGCUGUUUACCUUGCAAGCUCGAGGGCUGGGGUUCAAUUCUUAACAUUGGAAAAAGAAAAAUCCAGAAAAGACCCACUAAACAAACAGAGGCAAGAAUCAGAGUGGUUUGGAAACUACUAAAGCCUGUUUGUGAAGUAAAAAGAAGGGGGAAGACAGCAGGCAUUUGGGCCCUAGCAAUUAAAAAUAGGUAGUUCAGAAUGUUCUCUAAAAAUGUUACUUCUCAUGGUGUGAUCAUUAUGAGCUUCCUCCCUGCCUUUGCAAACCAUGUCUUUUGGGUGAGUUUCUGGAGUGACCCUGCAGCCUGUUUCUCUCUCCAAACCCUGGGACUGGCCCAGUGCUUCACAACCAUUCCAACAGCAAGGAAAAGUUUGUAUGACCUGUGAAGGAAACAAAACUGGAUUUGCGGACAAGCACUUUUAGGGUCUGAGGGAGAGGAAGGUGGAUGGCUUGCCUAGUUUACCCUAUCUGCAGCGUUCCAACAACAACAACAACAACAACAACAACGACAUCUCUAGUUUCUGACACAGAGUCACGCCUUUAAUCCCAGCACCCAGAAGGCAGGCACUGACAAAUCUCCUAGUUUCCAGGCUGGCCAGGGAUAUAUAGUUUAAGGACAACUUGGCAGUGAGACCCUGUCUCCAAACAAAACAUACCACGCUAUACAUUUUAACUGUUUUUUUUUUUUUUUUUAACUUAGGGUCUCCUUUGUCUAGGCUCACCUGGAACUCUCUAUGUCGAACAUGCUGGCCUCCAACUCGCAGUGAAGCAGCACUACGGUUUUAAACAUUGGUUUCAUUUCCCUAGCCUCCAGAACAAGUCUUAAUCCCCCCCCCGCCCCCCCAGGCAAAUCAGGAACAGAAGGUCGGGGGAGGAGAGGGAGGUGGGUUGAAAAUGAAGGAUGAGAGCCUUCUGCUAGUUAACUUUGCCUAAUUUUAGACGAAUCACGAAUUCCCUAGACUCAAAUCCCCGCCUGUAAUUUAGGUGACUCAAGUUUUCGUCUUUUCAGAACUAAAAUUCUAAAAAAUUUCCAGGCCCAAAGCCUCCAUCAAGUGUGUAUCUAAAGGGAACGGUUUGCACUCAGUAACAUUCCAUUCUUUAGGGCUUUUUACAGACAGAAAAAGAAAAGUAGGGCAGCUUUGCAAGGGUCAGUUGAAAGCUGCAUAAACAAGCCCCGGGCUUGGUAGCAUACAGCUUUAAUCCCAGUACUUGGAUAAGGACCUGAGUUCGAGGCCAGCCUGGUCGACAGAGUGGGUUCUAGGAUAGCCAAGGCUACACAGAUAAACCUUGUCUCAGGAAAAAUAAAUAAGCAAGUGAGCGAGCGAGUUUAAACUGGCCAUGGUUAGAGCCCCACCUCAAUAUAAGGGGGCCUCUCUCCUUUAGUUUUAGGAAUAGAGUAUUCGUGUAAUUUCAUGUUAUUACUGACCAUAUCCUCUUAAAGCCUCCCUAUUUGCAGGUCCUGGAACGUAGAUCUGGGGAGUCGGUGCCGCCAGCCAGUCUUGUGAUUGCUAGCUCUGGACUUCUGUGUGCCCCGGAGCGCUGUUUCACAUGACUCCCCUGGCUUCUCUAAAAACAGAGGUUAUAGCCUCCAGGUUACAGGAUCAACCCGAGACUCGCUUCCCUUGAAAAUUCUAGAAUAUAGAGUAAACGUAGAAGCAUUCAAAGUAUGUAUGGUAAUACUUAAUGGAUGACAUAGACACCAAAAAAAAGCCAGCUCAGUGGGCCCCGUAGGUUGCAUUAAGGGACGACCAGGAAACGGCAGCACAGCCACCGGCAGCCGCCCUGCCCCCACACCAGUCAUUCCCGCACCUAGAUCCAGGCGCUGGGGGCGGGGCGGGGCGCGCCUGCGCAGCGAAGCUCUGCGGCAACAACUUUGCCUAGACCGGCUGGAACCGGUUAGAACCGGCCGCGCCCGACCGGCCGCCCGCUCCCGAUUCUGCGCUUCACAAAGGGAGGCGGCGACUCACGACCUGCGUAUCCUUGCGCGUCCCCACCCCCGCCCCCCACCCCCACCCCCCUUGUCCCUGUGGCAUUCGCGUUCCUUCCCGCCGUCUCCCUCGCGGGCCGCUUCUCUGCGCCUGGUGAUCCUUUCGCCAUGGUCCUCUGGAGAAAGAAAAAAUCUUUAAUUUCUAGGGACGUCCUUUCCUGUACGUCGUAAUUGUAGAAAGGCAUGAGAACAGGAAGCCUAAAGUAGUGUACAUCUCGAAACCCAGCCACUGUGGGGCUGUGGGGGUUGUGCUCCGCAUGGCCGCCAAGGUCACUGUGUCCUCACAAGCAGCGACCGUCGCUUUGCUAGCCUGAGAUCAUGGCACCACAGCCUUGGGUCAGGGGUCGUCUGCUGGGCUUUGCUAGUUUGGAACGAGGACCUGGCAGCCUAAAUGGCUGACGUUUGCAAGCACCAAAGCACUCGUUAACCAAGGCUCAGAAUAAAGUUCUCGUGGGCAGCCGGGGACUGCAGAUCGUCCUACAGGUGGAUGUUCUCAGCAUCCCGAGCCUAAGCCAGUACUAAGCAAAGUGCUAUCACCUCAGGAACAACUCGCAGGGCCAGGUCAUUUUCGAGAAACCUCCAUUUUGUUUAUGAAAAUGGCUGCCGCUCCGGGAGUCACAAAAUAAAGGAAACUGUGUUAGUCAUGUUUUUCAUCUUGUGACUCAAACUUUUAAACUAUUUGUACUUGCUGGUACAACUUUAAUAUUUCUCUGUAUUAGCAAGGUCCCGAGGCCCACGCACCAUCAGGAAAAAUCUAGAAACUUGGAAGUAGGGCUCUAUUUUUAACUCUCUGAGGAACUAUUUUUCUUCCUUCACCGAGGCGGUGGAGGGUUACUAGGUUCCGGUGGAGUGACGUGUCCCUUCGCAAUAAAAAGGGAGCUCCGAGCCUUGCGUCAGGCAUUCAGGCAGCGAGCACAGGCACCUGGUGAGGCAGGAGACUCAGCCUGAGGCAUUCGCAGAUAAGUUUCUAUUUAAAAAGAUUUAAAAGGAAACUAGAACUCUAAACUUAAUAGAGUAGCUUACUGAGAUAAUAAUAUUUUAAUAUUAAGAUUUUAAAAGAAAAGUAUGGAGGUUUAUUUAAACAAUUUGAAAAAGGAAAAGAGAAAAAUUUUUGUACCACCAGAUGGAGGCUGACCUGAGGCGUUUAUUCAGAGUAGUUUAGAAGAUUGUAAAAGGGAGCAAUUGUGGAGUUUCAAAGGUUCUAGCUUGAGGGUCAGCCUUGUUAGGUGUACUUUUAAACGAAGGUUACCUAAACAGAAUCUAAAUGGCUUUUUAAAAUUGUAAAGUUGUAGAUAAUAGUUUGAAAAUGAGAUGUAGUUUAAAAAGAUUGAAAAAAGUAAGUUGAAGGGCCGUUAUAAGAGUCGACUGUCGCAUGUACGAAGGCAUGAGUUGGAAACGGGGAAUGGAAGUGGUAGGGUUAGUAUUUUGAGAAAGAAGAUUAGAAAAUGGAAGUGGAAAAAUGAAGACAAGUUCAGGAAGGUGAAGAAAAGCUGUAGAGAAGAUAGGAAAAUAGAAGACCGAAGAAUCAUUAGAAGACAGAAAAGGUAUUUAAACACACAGGUAGGAAGAAAACUAGAAGAUAGAAAAAAAGCAAGAUAGAAAGACAAAAGGAA